rnacentral:rRNA from 1 species
UACAGAGGGGGCAAGCGUUGUUCGGAUUUACUGGGCGUAAAGGGCGCGUAGGCGGCGUGUUAAGUCAGUUGUGAAAUCUCCAAGCUUAACUUGGAACGGUCAACUGAUACUGAUGUGCUAGAGUGCAGAAGGGGCAACCGGAAUUCUUGGUGUAGCGGUGAAAUGCGUAGAUAUCAAGAGGAACACCUGAGGUGAAGACGGGUUGCUGGGCUGACACUGACGCUGAGGCGCGAAAGCUAGGGUAGCAAACGGG